AGGAUUAACGCUGGCGGCGUGCCUGACACAUGCAAGUCGAACGAGGCCGCAAGGCCGAGUGGCGGACGGGUGAGUAACACGUGACCAACCAACCUCGAAGUUGGGAAUAGCUCUGCGAAAGUAGGGGUAAUGCCGAAUGUGGCCCAGGGCGGGCAUCCGCCUUGGUCUAAAGAUUCAUCGCUUCGAGACGGGGUCGCGGCCUAUUAGCUUGUUGGUGAGGUAACGGCUCACCAAGGCGAUGAUGGGUAGCUGGUCUGAGAGGACGACCAGCCACACUGGGACUGAGACACGGCCCAGACUCCUACGGGAGGCAGCAGUGAGGAAUCUUCCGCAAUGGGCGAAAGCCUGACGGAGCAACGCCGCGUGUGGGAUGAAGACUCUAGGGUUGUAAACCACUGUCGGAGGGGACGAUCGUGACGGUACCCUCCAAGAAACGCCCCGGCUAACUACGCGCCAGCAGCCGC
rnacentral:rRNA from 1 species